rnacentral:lncRNA from 1 species
AAGAGCUCCAUAUGAUUCUAGACAAAAUAACAGCAGAGGAGGAGAAAGGAAUGAAGACCAGAGCAUUUGACUUUCACAGAUGCUGGGGACCGCUCCAGACCAAGAACUGUUGGACUUAGAAAUGGAAAACAGCAUGAGCCACAGCCCACCCAGGACUGCUCCUGCACUACUUUCCUGAGCUUUAGAACUGUGACUGUUCCACAGCUAAAUUCAGCUCUAAAGCCAAGGCUCAUUCCAUUUCUCGACCUUACCCCUCCUGAAGACCUAUGAUGCCUUCUUCACUGUGUCC